AAAUAAUGUAAUUUAAUUUUAUUAGUGUUAAUUAAUUUAUAAUUGGAUAAUUGUAAAUAAAAGUUUAUAAGGUGAAAUUUAAAAUUUUUAUUUAAAUUAUAAAGUUUUGAUGAAGUUAAAAAAUUUAUAUAAUAAACUAGGAUUAGAUACCCUAUUAUUAUAAAUGUAAUUUAAAUAACUAAAUUAGUAUUAGUUAUGUUCUUGAAAAUUAAAGAUUUUGGCGGUAUUUUAGUCUAUUCAGAGGAACCUGUUCUAUAAUCGAUAAUCCACGAUUUAAUUUACUUUUUUUAUUAAUUUACAUAUCAUCGUAAUUUGAAUAUUUUAUAAGAAUAAUAAUAUUCAAGAUUUUUUAUAAAAAAAUAAAUCAGAUCAAGGUGUAGUUUAUAAAAAAGAAGAAAUGGGUUACAUUAAAUAUAAAUUUAGGAUUUUUAUUUGUAAUAUAAAAUGAAUUUGGAUUUGAAAGUAAUUUUAAUUAAUUAGUUGAUUUGAUUUUAGCUCUAAAAU
rnacentral:rRNA from 1 species